AUAAUAAUAAUAAUAAUAAUAAUGUAAUAAUAAUAAAAGUGUUCAUCGCAGUUGUUCCACAUAAUCCUCCAUAACUUGCUGUUUCCAAGUUUGUAAUCCUUUGAUGCUUAUUUGGCUACAAAAUGAAAGCCUUGUCUCCAGAUAAUGAAGGAAAGGAAGGUUGUCCUGGGCCAUUUGAAACCUAAGAAUAUUUGAUUCUUUCAUUGUUUACAGCUAGACUUGAAAAGGAUCAAAAAGAUUUUUGCAGGAYCAGCUUAGUGUAAAGGCUUCUUUCUGCCUUGUAGCACAGGCAGUGACCAUAAAGAAGGUAUUAUCUUUAGGAAUCAGUUACACAGCCAUUAAAGCAAACUAGAGAUUAUUUCAUACAACAGGAGCAGGGAGUGGAGAGCUUUUUCAAUAUGGAAAUAGCUUUGGAUGUAUAAACCAGAAAGCUUAAAUUUACCAAAAAAAACUAAGUUCUCUGUUUACUGAAAACUUCAGUUUUUUCAUACUCUUCUACACCUGUUCUGGAAAUCAACAGACACCCAGAUUGCCAUUAAUGACUGCACUUGAUUUCCUUCAGGAAGCCAUACCUAAUUAUCCAAAUGGAACUCUUAAGGCACAACGGAGUAAAAUAGAUUGGAAACAUUUUCAGCUGAGUUUCUCCAUUUGGAUUAACUCCAUUGGAAUGAAAUUUCCCUGCUCUUAGGACCUGAAGUGCAUCAGCACAAAGCAGCAGGAUAUACAAGCAGCUAAACCCAGAAUAUCCAACGCUAUUGAGAAAAGAGCAUUUGGAUCCCACAUGGAAGAACACAAGAGACAGUGGCUUAUUAGGAAUGAGAAUCCUGCAGCUAAGGGAAAUUGAUAUUGGCACUGAUACCUUCAAAAAUGCUACCAAGGGUGAAAAGGAGCCAACAACAGCACAGCUACAAGAAGGUGUAAUUAGAACUGGCUGCAAGGUGGAUAUGUAAAUGUGUGUAUUCUGUAUCACAACCACUCACAGUGAUGCAAAACAUUUGAAGGAAAAAUUAUUG